rnacentral:rRNA from 1 species
AACGCUAGCUACAGGCUUAACACAUGCAAGUCGAGGGGCAUCAGGAAGAAAGCUUGCUUUCUUUGCUGGCGACCGGCGCACGGGUGAGUAACACGUAUCCAACCUGCCCUUUACUCGGGGAUAGCCUUUCGAAAGAAAGAUUAAUACCCGAUGGUAUAAUCAUUCCGCAUGGUCUGAUUAUUAAAGGAUUCCGGUAAAGGAUGGGGAUGCGUUCCAUUAGGUUGUUGGUGAGGUAACGGCUCACCAAGCCUUCGAUGGAUAGGGGUUCUGAGAGGAAGGUCCCCCACAUUGGAACUGAGACACGGUCCAAACUCCUACGGGAGGCAGCAGUGAGGAAUAUUGGUCAAUGGGCGCGAGCCUGAACCAGCCAAGUAGCGUGAAGGAUGACUGCUCUAUGGGUUGUAAACUUCUUUUAUAUUAGAAUAAAGUGCAGUAUGUAUACUGUUUUGUAUGUAUAAUAUGAAUAAGGAUCGGCUAACUCCGUGCCAGCAGCCGCGGUAAUACGGAGGAUCCGAGCGUUAUCCGGAUUUAUUGGGUUUAAAGGGAGCGUAGGUGGACUGGUAAGUCAGUUGUGAAAGUUUGCGGCUCAACCGUAAAAUUGCAGUUGAUACUGUCAGUCUUGAGUACAGUAGAGGUGGGCGGAAUUCGUGGUGUAGCGGUGAAAUGCUUAGAUAUCACGAAGAACUCCGAUUG